UACGUAGGUGGCAAGCGUUACUCGGAAUCACUAGGCGUAAAGCGCAGGUAGGAGGUUUGGUAAGUCUGUUGUGAAAGCUCCCGGCUUAACUGGGAGAGGUCAACGGAAACUACUAGGCUAGAGUGCGGUAGAGGUAGCUGGAAUUCCUGGUGUAGCGGUGAAAUGCGCAGAUAUCAGGAGGAACACCCGUGGCGAAAGCGGCUCUCUGGGACGGUACUGACGCUGAGACGCGAAAGCGUGGGGAGCAAACAGG
rnacentral:rRNA from 1 species